GACGAACGCUGGCGGCGUGCCUAAUACAUGCAAGUAGAACGCUGAAGCGAGGAGCUUGCUCUUCUUGGAUGAGUUGCGAACGGGUGAGUAACGCGUAGGUAACCUGCCUUGUAGCGGGGGAUAACUAUUGGAAACGAUAGCUAAUACCGCAUAACAAUGGAUGACACAUGUCAUUUAUUUGAAAGGGGCAAUUGCUCCACUACAAGAUGGACCUGCGUUGUAUUAGCUAGUAGGUGAGGUAAUGGCUCACCUAGGCGACGAUACAUAGCCGACCUGAGAGGGUGAUCGGCCACACUGGGAAUGAGACACGGCCCAGACUCCUACGGGAGGCAGCAGUAGGGAAUCUUCGGCAAUGGGGGCAACCCUGACCGAGCAACGCCGCGUGAGUGAAGAAGGUUAUCGGAUCGUAAAGCUCUGUUGUAAGUCAAGAACGGGUGUGAGAGUGGAAAGUUCACACUGUGACGGUAGCUUACCAGAAAGGGACGGCUAACUACGUG
rnacentral:rRNA from 1 species